UUAAUUGAAGAGUUUGAUCAUGGCUCAGAUUGAACGCUGGCGGCAGGCUUAACACAUGCAAGUCGAGCGGUAGCACAGGGGAGCUUGCUCCCUGGGUGACGAGCGGCGGACGGGUGAGUAAUGUCUGGGAAACUGCCUGAUGGAGGGGGAUAACUACUGGAAACGGUAGCUAAUACCGCAUAACGUCGCAAGACCAAAGAGGGGGACCUUCGGGCCUCUUGCCAUCAGAUGUGCCCAGAUGGGAUUA
rnacentral:rRNA from 1 species